GUGUCAUGGUCAUUGACUGUUCAUAUGAACCCUGCAAUUGCAUUGCAGAUUGUGUGAGGUUCAUAUAACGGUCAACAGAGACCCUUGACAU
rfam:Medicago truncatula strain A17 chromosome 3, whole genome shotgun sequence.